GACGAACGCUGGCGGCGUGCUUAACACAUGCAAGUCGAACGGAAAGGCCUUUUCGGAGGUACUCGAGUGGCGAACGGGUGAGUAACACGUGGGUGAUCUGCCCUGCACUCUGGGAUAAGCCUGGGAAACUGGGUCUAAUACCGGAUAGGACCGCACUUUAGUGUGUGUGGUGGAAAGUUUUUUCGGUGUAGGAUGAGCCCGCGGCCUAUCAGCUUGUUGGUGGGGUAAUGGCCUACCAAGGCGGCGACGGGUAGCCGGACUGAGAGGUUGGUCGGCCACAUUGGGACUGAGAUACGGCCCAGACGCCUACGGGAGGCAGCAGUGGGGAAUAUUGCACAAUGGGCGCAAGCCUGAUGCAGCGACGCCGCGUGGGGGAGGACGGCCUUCGGGUUGUAAACUCCUUUCGCCAGGGACGAAGCGUUUUGUGACGGUACCUGGAGAAGAAGCACCGGCUAACUACGUG
rnacentral:rRNA from 1 species